CCUCUUCUCACUUCCCAAUCUCUCCUCAACACAUGGCCAUCUGUCAUCUACCUCCAAUGUUCCAGAAAGCCAGCUCUCACGAAGGUUACCAGCCACCCAGCCCACUGGUGUUCAGAUGCAGAAUGAACGUAAGAAUGAUGAAGUGGAUGGGCAGAUUUCCAAGGCAGCUGGAAGUAAAUUGGACAACUGCAUGACCCAAAGAUGUAAAGCCAAAAUUUCACAUUCAAAGCAAGUCAGGAGGUAAAACUACACCAUGGAGACAUGAGGGAGAUUGUCAAUGAGACUUUCAUGCCUCAGAAUUUGAUGAUGAUGGUGAUGAUGAUGGUGAUUGAUAACAAUUGCAGCAGCAA
rnacentral:lncRNA from 1 species